rnacentral:rRNA from 1 species
GACGAACGCUGGCGGCGUGCUUAACACAUGCAAGUCGAGCGGUAAGGCCCUUUCGGGGGUACGACGAGCGGCGAACGGGCGAGUAACACGUGGGUGACCUGCCCUCAGCUCUGGGAUAAGCCUGGGAAACCGGGUCUAAUACUGGAUAUGACUCCAUGACGCAUGUUGUGGGGUGGAAAGCCUUGUGCGGCUGAGGAUGGGCCCGCGGCCUAUCAGCUUGUUGGUGGGGUGAUGGCCUACCAAGGCGACGACGGGUAGCCGGCCUGAGAGGGCGACCGGCCACACUGGGACUGAGACACGGCCCAGACUCCUACGGGAGGCAGCAGUGGGGAAUCUUGCGCAAUGGGCGAAAGCCUGACGCAGCGACGCCGCGUGAGGGAUGACGGCCU